rnacentral:misc_RNA from 1 species
GGGAGGUCGUCUCCCCUCUUUGAUCAGUGGGUUUUCCUUCCUACUGGCGGAUAAGGGUAUAAAUGGUUCUGAUGAUUAGAGCAACAAGUGAUGAAUGAAGAAGGUUUCUAUAGGCUGCCCUUGUGAAGUGGUUCUGUGAUUUUCUUUUGCUUCUUGUUGCGAUUUUUUUAGCCUUUUUCUUGGUGUUGUUGUUGCAGAUCUUCUGGCACAAAAUGAAAGAUCUUAGCAAAUUUGCUCCGGCUUGAGUAGCUUAAUAGUUUUGUUGCAUGUGGUUCCUUGUUGUUAUGGUUGUUGAAGUUUGACUUUUGAAGCUACAUGUGUCAGAGAAUGCUUAGUUUUUCUCUGAUCUAGCAUGGAACCGGUCGUCUGGUGGGCAGCUCAUAGGGUGCGAUUUGGUAGAUCAGCCUGGAAGGUGCAAAUGGGACACUAAAGAGACCCAUCGCCGACGUUCUAUGCUUGCUGUGGUGUCGAUGCAUAACUUCAAUGAUGCCUAACCUCUUAGCCUGGGGUUCAACAGCUCUCUAAAUCCAUGAAGCUACAUGAGAAGACUUUGCCAGCAGGCUCCUUUGAUCUUUAGUAUUUUUUCUAAGUCUUUAAUGGCAUCAGUAAUUAGGGAGAUAAGUUGUUUUCUUCGCUAAUCAUGGCUAUGGGCAUCUUCUCAAGCAACAAAUAGUGGAAGGUUCAGCUACAUUUUGGUAUAUUUUUUCAUAUUUUUUGGGUCAAAUUUGUAAGGUAGUUCACCCAAUUGGAGUGUGGGAUUCUGGCCAUAUGGGACCUAAAUUUAGUGGGCUUCAUUGAAAAUUUUUAAUUAUGAACUCUCCUGUAGCUGGGCUCUAGGCCUUUUAAAUUAAUGAAUCAAUGUUCC